AAUCGUUAUUUUUUGGAGUUUAUUGAUGUGAAUUAGUUGUCUGGUAAGCGCAGUAGUAAGCGGACUCGCUUCACACCAAGGCGACCCGGGUUCGAUUCCCGGCCUGGGCGCAUGUGAGUUUGGUAACCAGACAUCCACAGGUCAUACAUUUAUGAUUUCGAACACCUGUAAGAAGUGUAUUUACCUGCUCCUAAUCUUGAUGUUAUCUCAGAGAGCCCGUCCACCUGAAAGGAUAAAAACAAUGUUUGCAAUGUCGCAGCACGGUGUUUCACGACUUGCUGGAAACUGUCCGAAGCACCUCGAUGGUUGCAGCGUCGUAGAGGACAUGCUGUCCACCCCUGUAGGAGCCUUGGCCGGGCAAAUCUUCACCAAGCUGAGAUAUAUCCAGGACACAUCACAUGCAGUAGGCCUGUGACUUGCAGAAAAUAUGACUAUAUUUAGAUAAUUGUAAACAUUAGAAGGCCAUUAAAAUUGUAGUUUGUCUGGCCAAAUUAUAUAUGAGAAAUUACGUCGUUGAGCUUUCGACCCCACCAGACAGACACAUGUAGAAUAAUAUUUUCGAAUGUCAAUACUGUGUUGACAGUAAGGUGUUGUCAUUGUCAUGUACAUAUAAGGGAAGGUAUUUUAUUACAAUUAUUGUUAAUAGUCUACAGUUUUCACUGACGCAAGAGUAUUUGCUUUCCAUGUAUAUAAACUUGAUAAGAGAUAAUAACAAAACAAAAUACCUAAGUAUGCUUUAACAAAGCUGUCUUACAUGGGUAAUUCCUGACUCCACCCAUGCUUUGUUAAGUACCUGAAAGAAAUAUCACUCUGUUACGAACGUAUUUUCGAAAAAAAUAAAGUUGUCUUUCUUGAUUUCAGAUAGGGUUGCAGGAGUUUUCGCCCUUGUAAUUUGAGUGUAUAGGGAGAAAGGGAUGUAUAUUUAAGAAGUGUAUUGUCGAAUUUAUUACAUGAAUCAUAAUCAAUGGUUAUAAGUCAAAUUACCACAGACGCACACUACAGUAAACUUGAAUAUUAAAUGAAGUUGUUUUGUCUAGUACAAUGAAUGUUAUGAUAUCAAUAUUAGUAUAUCUUAAUAAAAUGUGUUGUAUUGACAGAAACAAAGAAGCCUACAUCAUACACAGAAGCAUUAACAGUUUUUGGAUGUAAGAGGGAGCAGCUCAGCUAACGAUGUAAGCCCCAUCACAUAUGUGAGCUAUCGGUUGCAAUCCUCCCCUGUGUAUAAUUAUGGCUAAUGGUAGUCCAAAUGUGUGUCAACCCUAUUUACAUGGAAUGUUAGAGAGUGACCAAAGCCCCACCCAUCUCCAUCCUCCCAACUUACACCAUGGAUCCCUUACUGCGCUGUGAAAAUCCAAAGAACGCCAACAGCGCUUGGCAAACAUAGGAGUUGUCAGUGGUUUUAUCCUCUCAAGCUGGAAUAAAAAGAUUGUGAAGGUCAACGAUAUAGGAUGUUUAAUACCACGGGCUAAAGGUUGAUCACAGAUGUUACGAUUCUUGACUAAGCUCCUUGGCAGAAAACCGAUGAACGUCUAUCUACACGACAGGCGAACUCCAAAGCUGAAAAGAGAAUAACAUUCUUGAAACAGUUGUUUAUGAUUAAAUACCCUUUAUUAGGCUUCUCAAAUGUACACUUUACGGCAUAAGGACUGUGACAAACACACACAGUAGUUUCUGGAACAUGAAUACGAUUAAAACAUAGGAUGUUAAAAAUAUGUAGGCUGUAAUGUGUCAUUUGCGAAUGAGAGUAAUGUGUUUGCUUUAACACUGUAUGAUAAUUCGUCACCUUAGUGCAAUAACUCAAUAUCCGCUUCUUUUUCUAUAUGCAGUUAUUGAGUUAUGCACUAAGGUGAUGAUAGAGUGUAAUGGAGUUUGUAAAUCGGGUAAUCUCGGCGGCAUAGAGUAUAUGCGAAUGACCCGGAGAACAACCAUGUGCCUGCAUUUAUAACAAUGAUAUAUGCAUAUGCUUUAUUGUAAAAUAUAUAAUCAUAACAAAAUAUAUGUUUAUAACAUGAAAACGAAAAUCAAACAGAAUUAAUUGAUUACAUCCAUAAACUCAAAACACACGAAUAUAUUUACAUACAAGAAAGGAGUACAUCACGUGACUGACCUGUGAUUUCGAAAUAUCAAUAGACUUAGAACGGUCGGAAAAAAAACACAUUCAAAUUGUUUUGCAAAUGUUUUGCUAAUGAGAGAAGAAAGUUAAAUGUUUGUUAAGAAAUUACCAUUAUAUCUGAAAUAAUUCAUUUAAGUCUGAGACUUGUUCAGAAGUGACCAUUGUAUCUAAAAUAAAGUCUGAUGUUUGUUUAGAAAUGACCUAUUUGACAUAUUUCAUUCAGGUAGGACUUAUGUUUAGAAAUGACUAUUCUGUCUGAAAUAUUUCAUUCAAGUAUGAUGUUUGUUUAGAAAUGACCAACCUAUCUGACAUAUUUCAUUUAGGUAAGAUGUAUGUUUAGAAAUGACUAUUCUAUCUGAAGUCAUACAUUUAAGAAUAAUGCCAACCUAUCUGCUGUAAUUCAUUUAUGUCUGAUUUUUGGUUAGAAAUGACCAAUCUUUAUGAAGUCAUUCAUUUUAGUUUGAUGUAUGUUUAGAAAUGAAUAUUCUCUUUGAAAUAACUCAUUUAAUUAGGAUUCUUGUUUAGAAUGACCAAUAUAUCUAAAGCCAUUCAUAUAAGUAUGAUGUUUGUUUAGAAAUGACUAUUCUAUCUGAAAUAAUUCAUUGAAACAGGAUAUAUGUUUAAUGUGACCAUUAUUAUUUUAAUCAUUUAUUUAAGUACGAUGUUUGUUAAGAAAAUAACAAUCAUAACUGCAUUAAUUCAUUUAAGUAUAAUGACUGUUUCUACAUGACCAUUCUACCUUUAGGUCAGUGACCACCAUGUAUUUACACAAAAAUAUACCUUUACAUACACACGAACAAUGGAUUGACACUUUUCUUGUCAUUUUAUUGAAAUAGAAUUGUAAACAGCG